AGCGGCAGGCUUAAGCAUGCAAGUCGAGGGGCAGCACGGGUAGCAAUACCUGGUGGCGACCGGCGCAAGGGUGCGUAACGCGUGAGCAACAUGCCCUAUACAGGGGGAUAAUCCAGGGAAACUUGGUCUAAUAUCCCAUAGUAUUUAGAGGAGGCAUCUUCUAUAAAUUAAAGCUUCGGUGGUAUAGGAUUGGCUCGCGUGACAUUAGCUAGAUGGUGAGGUAACGGCUCACCAUGGCAAUGAUGUCUAGGGGUUCUGAGAGGAAGGCCCCCCACACUGGGACUGAGACACGGCCCAGACUCCUACGGGAGGCAGCAGUGAGGAAUAUUGGACAAUGGAUGGAAAUCUGAUCCAGCCAUGCCGCGUGCAGGAAGACAGCCCUAUGGGUUGUAAACUGCUUUUAUAUGGGAGCAAUAAGGUCUACGUGUAGACUGAUGAGAGUACCAUAUGAAUAAGCAUCGGCUAACUCCGUG
rnacentral:rRNA from 1 species